rnacentral:rRNA from 1 species
UACGUAGGGGGCGAGCGUUGUCCGGAGUUACUGGGCGUAAAGCGCUUGUAGGCGGUCCACCAAGUUUGGGGUGACAGUUGCCGACUUAAUCGGCAAAGUGCCUCAAAGACUGGCGGACUUGAGGGCCACAGAGGGACAUGGAACUCCAGGUGUAGUGGUGAAAUGCGUAGAUAUCUGGAAGAACACCAAAGGCGAAGGCAGUGUCCUGGGUGGUCGCUGACGCUGAGAGGCGAAAGCCAGGGUAGCGAACGGG